AGUGGACCUUUUUAUAAACGAAUAGCAGUGACGUCACAUUUAUAACGCCUUUUCCGGUUUCUUUGCGGGACAACGGACAUCUUGAAAAGACGUACAAUGUUGACAACGUCCCAGAACAGAACCAGAACCAGCCUUCUUUGUCAGCUUGAGCCUUUUUGAAUCCUCAGUUCUGAUGCUGCCACCUCAACAGAUGAAGGCAGAAGCGAUUACAUUCUCAACAACCGACUUCCACAAACAGUGAAGGACCCAACUCUCCUCAAAAACAAGCAUCUUCUUUAAAUCUGGGCAAAGCAAGAACCAUUCAGAACAAGAUUGUUUAAUUUAUUUAACAGACUACAUAAAGAAAUUAGACCUGGGACUUUUGGGUUUUCUGAAAGUUUGAACAGAUUUAAUUCACUGCUUGAAUAUGUUUUUAAUGCAGUAAUGCAUGGUUUAGUAACUCUGUAUUUACACUUCUGUAUAUAAAAUCUGGCCAUAAUAAUUAUCAGAUUGGUAAUAUAUCCUAAUUUUUUUAAAUAGAUCUUUACAGUUUUCUGUAAGGCCAAUAAAACAGAAGUAUGAGUGAAAAGCACCUGAAUGUAUAUAACCACCACAAUUUUCAUAAUUUGAUGUAAAAACUAAUGAAACCAUCUAUUUUUGUUCUAUUUCUCAUUGCUAAGAUAUCCUCUGUUGGUCUAUCACAUGAAAUCUGCUGAUAAAAUGUAAAUGAUGCAUAUGGACAAUCAUGUUGACCCUUGAAUUAAUUUAAAUCUGCCUCCAGUUUCUCAUCGUCUGGCCCAAAACUACCAGACGAUAGUCAAUGGUAAUUGAGUUUCAUGGGAAACGACAGAGCACUUUGGUGGAUUUUCAUGUCAACAGAACCGCAGCAACAAAACGAGACGCUUUAAAUAAAGAGUGAAAUCAAA